ensembl:lncRNA
UUUUGCUGGAUAUCUCUUUGUCCCUUAGGCUUUCUGAAGGCGUUCUGUGAUGCAGCAUUAUACCACGGUGAAUGGGAAUAAAGAAAACAACAAUCUAUUUAUGGGACUUCAAACACAAUGAGCCAUAUGCUUGCUUGAGCAGCAGAGCGUGGUGUGAAUAAGACGAUUGAAACACACUUGCCAAAGCGCCUGAUGUGUGCUUUCUUGCACAAAGGAAAAAAGACCUGUAUGUUAAAAUACUGUCACAAUUUCAGAUCCUUAAAGGCUGCAGGGCACAGCGAUCUAAUCCUUAGCUCACUGAAACCGGGAAAGUUUUGGCCAUUUAUCAAGUACAAUGCAUCAAUCAGUGGGCACGCAUCCAAACCCAGCCUUCUGCUACCCUCUAUUGGGAAGAGAUGAGAUGAAGGAAACCCAUGUUCCUGCGUCAUCUGAAAUACUCCGGGAUACUCCUCCAGCCUCAGCUUCUAACCUGCAGACAGGGGGAGAUCUGAUCCAAGCAGUGUCAUUCACAGCCAGUUGAUUCUGAGAUUUCUCCUGUUCUGAGUAUUCUUUUUUUUUUGGUGUGUCUGGAGACACGCCAGCCUGACGCUGAGCUUUUGUGCUGUGUUCCAGCCAGUCCCUCUGGGGUGACCCAGAGAUGUUUUGUCCUUGUGUACAGAUUGUUUCCUCCCAUGCACCUACAGAGCUCCCUUAAACAUCGGUGACAAAGGAGUGGCUACUGGGCAACAUCCCUAUGGGACAGGAGGGUUCUGGGGACGUUGGGACCUGCUGGCUGAGGGACUCUUUGUCUUCAGAUAGAAGACAGUGUUUUGCAGCAAAGAUGGGUAAUUCAAGUGGAACGCAUCCCAGGGGGUGUCGGCUCCACCAGCUGCUCCCUCUUACUUGUGGCAGAGGUAACACAGAUGACCUGUGGGGUGUGCAAGUAACCCUCUGCUUUACAGUGGUGCUUUGAAUAGGUGGAAUAGCAGCACUGCUCCCUAAGCAGGCUGCAAGUUU